CAUUUAUGGAGCUAGCCGUCGAAGGUGGGACAAAUGAUUGGGGUGAAGUCGUAACAAGGUAGCCGUAUCGGAAGGUGCGGCUGGAUCACCUCCUUUCUAAGGAUAUAUUCGGAAC
rnacentral:rRNA from 1 species